rnacentral:rRNA from 1 species
UACGGAGGGUGCAAGCGUUAUCCGGAUUCACUGGGUUUAAAGGGUGCGUAGGUGGGCAGUUAAGUCAGUGGUGAAAUCUCCGGGCUCAACCCGGAAACUGCCAUUGAUACUAUCUGUCUUGAAUAUCGUGGAGGUAAGCGGAAUAUGUCAUGUAGCGGUGAAAUGCUUAGAUAUGACAUAGAACACCAAUUGCGGAGGCAGCUGGCUACACGAAUAUUGACACUGAUGCACGAAAAGCGUGGGGAUCAAACAGG